CUGGUCAAGCGCGAUGAUCGCGGCGCCGCAAGGCGCUCGAGGAAAGUCCGAGCUCCAUCGGGUAGACUGCCAGGUAACGCCUGGGCGCCGCAAGGCGACGGACAGGGCCACAGAAAAUAAACCGCCCCUUUAGGUCGCAAGACCUCGGGGGGUAAGGGUGAAACGGUGGGGUAAGAGCCCACCGCGCCGCUGGUAACAGCGGUGGCAGGGUAACCCCCAGUCGGAGCAAGGCCAAAUAGGCGGCGAGGUGUGACCCACACCGACAAUCCCGAAACUUCGAGUAGAGGUCAGGGAAGCCGCGGGUAGGCUGCUAGAGGUGGCCGGCGACGGCCAUCGCAGACAGAUGAUCAUCUCCCGGUCUUUCCGACUUCGAGCCUCUGGCGAGGGGGAGGAUGUACCUGGGAAACAGAACUCGGCUUACGGCAUGACCAGCUGC
rnacentral:RNase_P_RNA from 1 species